rnacentral:lncRNA from 1 species
ACUAAAGUGGCUGAACAGGCUCAUCUAUUUACAGGAAGCUAUGAUUCUGAGGUAUGUUUUCCCAACAGUAAAAAGGAGAGAAGAAUCUAUUUUGGUACUAUUAGUUAGCUCACAGCUGGGUUUAAUAAUGAGGGCUGUUUGGGAUAUCUGAUGUGGUAUGUAAGACAAACCCAGGGGGGCUGAUUUAACUGUGGUCCGAGGCCAGAGGCAACAGAGAGAAUGACCUGUGGGAAAUCUCUGUUUCAUUCGAGUUCCAGAGUCUAGGGAAAAGGUUAUGUCAUAGAACCUACAGUAAUCUGAAGAAAACUUUUAGCCACAAAUCAACACUUGCUAUUUCUUCCUCAUGUUUUCUUAUUAACAUAGUUGGAAUUUGCCAGAAAGGGACAAACUAUCUUGGGAAAGGAAGAAAGUCAGAAAGAUCCAACGGAAGAAGUGGGGCAGGAGAACAAGAAAAUCUUUGAAAAUUCCAUAAAGAAGACGAUAUCUUCCUCAAGUCUUUUUCUGUCACAGAUUCCUCACACUCCCCAUUUUGACAUACUCUUGGUCAUUUUUAUUGUCAUAAGAAGAGCAGUCAUAUGUUUGUGUACACACGACAUUCUACCCAGACCUCUAGGUCACUUUUAUUUUUCCUUGUCUUGUGCUCUGUUGUAAUUAAGAGUAAACUCCUUAUAAUGAAAAAGGACAUGAUACAUAUUUUCUAGGUAACAGUAUUAGUCAUUCUUAGGAACUGAGCACAGUACAAAGUACUUUGUACGUAUUAUCUGAGGGGAUUCAAGACCAUCUGUGGGUAUAUGCAUCUGCCAUUCACAUUUACCAGAUAGAGCAACUGAAGACUUCAGCAAUUGUAAUUUGCCGAGAGCCACAUAAAUAAUAACUGGCAGAUCCAGACAAGUGAAGCAAUAAAUGGUAAGGAAGAUACGAUUGGAAGAGACA